rnacentral:rRNA from 1 species
AGAGUUUGAUCCUGGCUCAGAGUGAACGCUGGCGGCGUGCUUAACACAUGCAAGUCGAACGAGCAGAGCCUGUAGUAAUAUAGGUUUCUGUUAGUGGCAAACGGGUGAGUAAUACAUGGUAAUCUGCCUUGUAGUAAGGAAUAACUAUUAGAAAUGAUAGCUAAUGCCUUAUAUUGCGGAAACGUGAAAGAUUUAUCGCUACAAGAUGAGCCCAUGGAGGAUUAGCUUGUUGGUAGGGUAAUGGCCUACCAAGGCUUCGAUCUUUAGCUGGUCUGAGAGGAUGAUCAGCCACACUGGAACUGAGAUACGGUCCAGACUCCUACGGGAGGCAGCAGUGGGGAAUAUUGGACAAUGGGCGCAAGCCUGAUCCAGCAACGCCGCGUGAGUGAUGAAGGCCUUAGGGUUGUAAAGCUCUUUUAGUAGGGAAGAUAAUGACGGUACCUACAGAAAAAGCCCCGGCUAACUUCGUGCCAGCAGCCGCGGUAAUACGAAGGGGGCUAGCGUUACUCGGAAUUAUUGGGCGUAAAGCGUGCGCAGGCGGUUUAGUAAGUUUGAAGUGAAAGCCUGAGGCUCAACCUCAGAACUGCUUUUAAAACUGCUUUACUAGAGUGCUAGAUGGGAUAGCGGAAUACUUAAUGUAGAGGUAAAAUUCAUAGAUAUUAGGAGGAACACCGGAAGCGAAGGCGGCUAUCUGGCUAGUGUCUGACGCUGUUGCACGAAAGCGUGGGGAGCAAACAGGAUUAGAUACCCUGGUAGUCCACGCAGUAAACGAUGAGUGCUAGGUGUUGGGGUUUUACCUCAGUGCCGUAGCUAACGCGUUAAGCACUCCGCCUGAGGAGUACGGUCGCAAGAUUAAAACUUAAAGGAAUAGACGGGGACUCGCACAAGCGGUGGAACAUGUGGUUUAAUUCGAUACUACGCGAAGAACCUUACCAGGCCUUGACAUGGUAGUUAUACAGCUAAGAAAUUAGUUGGUCAGCUCGGCUGGACUACCACAGGUGUUGCAUGGCUGUCGUCAGCUCGUGUCGUGAGAUGUUGGGUUAAGUCCCGCAACGAGCGCAACCCUCAUCCUUAGUUACCAGCGAAUAAUGUCGGGAACUCUAGGGGAACUGCCGGUGGUAAGCCGGAGGAAGGUGGGGAUGAUGUCAAGUCUGCAUGGCCCUUACGGCCUGGGCUACACACGUGUUACAAUGGUAGUUACAAUGAGGAGCAAGAGGGUAACCUGGAGCAAAUCUUUAAAAGCUACCUCAGUUCGGAUUGUACUCUGCAACUCGGGUACAUGAAGUUGGAAUCGCUAGUAAUCGCAGAUCAGCAUGCUGUGGUGAAUACGUUCUCGGGUCUUGUACACACUGCCCGUCAAGCCAUGGGAGUUGAUUUUACUUUAAGUAGAUGUGCUAACCGCAAGGAGGCAAUCUAUCACGGUAAUGUCGAUGACUGGGGUUAAGUCGAAACAAGGUA